GAAGAAACUAGACAUGACAGCGCCACAGAUUGGACGAUCAUCAAGGAAACUCCUGACAACUAAGCCUUAGGAAUACAAAGGGAAUAUUGAUAUGAUGCUUCAGGACUGCCAGUGUUUCCAGUUGAAUUUGGUCUUUGUUGGUUACCAGCUACGGCAAUUCUUCUUCAACUGAGAAAGAUAAAUCUGUUUUAAACAUCCCACCAACAAGAAGAACUUUAAUGGUGGUUAAACCAGCUUAAAGUGCAAGCUGAGAAACAGGAAGAUAAAAGGACAUUAUCUGACAGACAAGAGAAGCUGGUAACCAAGGAUAAAUCUUGGGUUGCUAUGGGACAGACUGGUACAUUCUUGUGAUCAACACCACUAGGCAGCAACAAGGGAUGUGCCUGAUGAAGUAACCUCACCAAACUUUGAGCCAACCUUGAAGCAUAAGGGGCAUAGACAUGCCUGAAGGAAAUAUUCUUGAGAAUCACAAAGGAAAUACGGACGUAAAGAAUAUAAAAAUGUAAUGCCUCACCCCUAUACUGCAGUUAGCUAGGACAGAUAGGUCCUUGUCUGAAGGAAAGAAGACAUCUAAAGAUUCAACAAUCUUCGAGUGAUUGUUGCUUUGAUCAAAGGGAGACCCGUCUAAUUGUGUUUCUUAUUUAGUCCAUGCAUUAGUGGUAAAGCAAAAUAUAGUCUCUGAGAGAUAGUGCAGGGAGUUUUAAUGUGGGUGAGCACGUGGGUUUUGGGUGGGGGCCGAAAUCCCAGAAAAAUGUGAACACAAUCGGAAGCCAACCUGAACACACCGAUUUCCACAUAUAAAUGCAGCACGCAGGCUGUGGGCCAGUGGCCCCCGCAGGAGAAUAUGUUAUUAUGUCAACACGCAUUUUGGAGCUUAACUUUGGCUCCAGGGGUUUCCCGAAGUUCCUGACCCUCACCAGUGAAAGCAAGGCAAGAAGAAAGCAACAACUGAAAGAGGGGUUUU